rnacentral:lncRNA from 1 species
GCUUAAGUAAUAUAAAUAAUGUAAAUAAAGCAAGUAAUAAGGUAAAAAACAAAGUAUCUAAUCAAGUAUAUAAUAAAUGUAUUGCAAAAAAAAAAAACAUAAUGAAAUGAUUUUACAGAAUAAAAAAGAAACAACUUUACUUAAUACAAAUGAAAAAAAAAUUGAAAAUUGAAAAAGCGAAAGUUGGUACUCCCAUUAAAAAAAAAAACAAACCAAGUCAUUCAAAGUAACAUUAAUAAUAACAGUAGUAAUAACAGUAGUAAUAACAGUAGUAAUACAUUACCUAAUAAAUUUAUAACAACAAUAAAUAAACAAACUGAUGUAAAAUGUUAUACAAAAAUUAAAGAAAAUAAAGUAAAAGCAAAAAGAGCUAGUUAUGAUUAUAGUGGUCACGAGGUUAAUACUAGUGGUCAUUUAUCUGAUCUUCAAGUUACCGUUAAUAGUGGUAUUUCUAUAAAUGCCAAUGUCAGUGUCAAAUCAGUAAACAAAACUCCAACAAAUCAGCAAAACAAAACAGCGUUUAACAAAUCAAGUGUUAAUACACCAAAAAAUGCAAUAGUUAAAAAAAACACUACGUUAAAAGAAGCAAACAAAAGAACAAGUGUAAAACUAUGUACAUAUAACAAUAAUUUAAAAAAAGAAAAAAAUCAAAAAAAUCAAAAAAAUCAAAAAAAUCAAAAUAAUGAAAAUAAUGAAAAUAAUGAAAAUAAUGAAAAUAAUGAAAAAACAAAACCUAAUAUAAAAGACGUAAUAAGUAACAACCUAAACAAACAACAAAGAGUAAUAACAAACAAAAUUCUAAACACAUCUAUUAACUUCGAUGCUUCACAUGGAGUAGUACAAUCUAUAAGUAACAUUACUGAUGCUGGUAGUCACAUACUUGACAUGUAUUCACAUAAUGUCACUACUGAUGUUACUACUGGUGUUACUACUGGUGUUACUACUGGUGUUACUACUGGUGUCACUACUGGUGUCACUACUGGUGUCACUACUGGUGUGAAUAAUCAAGAGAAUUUGCAAGAUAUAAUCAAUAACCAAGUAAAAAUAUUUGAGCAACAAUUUUUAUAAAAAAGGGAAACAUAAAAAAAAAAAAAAAAAAAAAAAAAAGGGCUCUACAUGUCCAUACAGCAUGUAUGCAUAUAUAGACCGGUUAUAUAAAACGGUUAUAUAAAUAUUAUGUUUUUUUUUCCCACUCUUUUUGUCUGUCACUGUUUAUAAAAAAAAAAAAAUAAUAAUUAAAAAUAUAUACAUUUAUUCUUUUUAAAUUACACAAC